CCUACGGGUGGCUGCAGUGAGGAAUAUUGGUCAAUGGGCGCGAGCCUGAACCAGCCAAGUCGCGUGAGGGAGGACGGCCCUACGGGUUGUAAACUUCUUUUGUCGGGGAGCAACGGGCGUCACGUGUGGCGCCACUGAGAGUACCUGGAGAAAAAGCACCGCUAAACUCGGUGCCAGCAGCCGCGGUAAUACGGAGGAUGCGAGCGUUAUCCGGUUUUAUUGGGUUUAAGGGGUGCGUAGGCGGAUCGUUAAGUCAGUGGUCAAGUUGAGGGGCUCAACCCCUUCCCGCCAUUGAAACUGGCGUUCUUGAGUGGAAGAGAGGUAUGCGGAAUGCGUGGUGUAGCGGUGAAAUGCAUAGAUAUCACGCAGAACCCCGAUUGCGAAGGCAGCAUGCCGGCUUCCGACUGACGCUGAAGCACGAAAGCGUGGGGAUCGAACAGGAUUAGAUACCCGAGUAGUC
rnacentral:rRNA from 1 species